rnacentral:lncRNA from 1 species
AUCCUCGCCCCUGUGGCGGAAAUGGGAGGGUGCCUGGAGGAGUGGAGGGAUUGGAUUUACACCCUCUUUUCCCUCCGAAGCCUCCUUGGUGGGGGCGAAGAAAGACCAUCCAACCCUGCCAAAGGCAAAAGGAUUAAGGAUAAAUGAAAGCAAGAUAAUGUAGAAGAACUACUUAGCUGCUGGGUUUUUGGAGAUGAGUGAUUUUUUUUUGUAGGGAGAAAUUAUGAAACACAUUGAAAUGGACAAAAAAUUACUGAAUGUCUUCAAUGAAAAAACAGCCAUAGUUUGGCACACCGUCCCGGGCAUUCUGUUGCUAGAGGGGCUGUCCGCUUUUCUUUGUGGUGCUCUGCACAACUCGGUAAGACCCCUCGUAUUGUUAUCUUACCCUUCCUUGGGAAAAGCCAUUUUGCAUCGAUUUGUAAAUUCAUUCCCCAGUCCUGAUUCAACAAUAUAGAUGGGUGCUUUAAAUUCUGCUUAGAGCUGGUUCUAACAGCUUACUGGUCCCCGGGUUAAUGAGUAAAUAAAUUUUUUACACGUGUUCAUUUUGUAUUUCUGUGAGACCUGUGACUUCACCGUUAAAAAAUGUAUUUAUCAUUUAAUGCUUUGGUAAACACACUUCUUUUCAGAGAAUAGAAAGGGCUUCCCUUCUGCCAGGGCAUAUUCUUAGCCAGAGACCACACUGAAUUCAGAGUAAAGGUUAUUUCUUUGGCAUGGCUUCUUUGAACACUGCCUGAAAUUAUGUAUGUAUUUGUUGAUUAUCUCCCCAAUAAAAUACAAAUUUUAGGAGAGCAGAGACUAUUCACCACUGAAGGAGUUGUCCAUGGAGCUUAUUUUCAAACCAUCUGGGAAGCAGUAGUUAAGCCCGCCCACGCUAAAGGAUGGGGUGUGGCUGGCUAACUCAGAAUGAAUUAUGACAUUUCUCUACUUAUGUAGGGAGUAGAUUAUCUUAACCCCGCCCCACAAUUUCGUAUCCCUUAUUUUGUUCUAGGCACAGAUCCAAUCACUUUAUUUUCAAUCAUUUCAUUCCUACAACUAACUGAGAUAGGUACUCUUACGUUAUUUAACUCUACAGAGAAGUUAAAUUACAUAUCCAAGAUUGCAAGGCCAGUGUCACAACUGAGAUUAAAACCUGUUGUGCCAAUAGUUUCCAAACUUUGCUGCACAUUGGCAUCACCUGAGGAUCUUUACUAACCACUGAUGCCUGCUUACUAUUCCAGACCUUCUGAUUUAACUGUCAUGGGUGAGACCUGGGCAUUGACAUUUUUAAAAUGUCAAUUUUAAAAUUAGGUGAUCCUAAUGUGCAGCACUGUUAUUCUGUCUUGAUAUGAAAUGUGGCAGACAGAAAUAAAUACAAUACA